rnacentral:tRNA from 1 species
GCUUAGGUAGUUUAAUUAAAAUAUCGGUUUGUGGUGUCGGUGAUGUAAAAAUUUACCCUUGGUC